rnacentral:rRNA from 1 species
GGGUGCGAUCAUACCAGCGUUAAUGCACCGGAUCCCAUCAGAACUCCGCAGUUAAGCGCGCUUGGGCUAGAGUAGUACUGGGAUGGGGGGAGGUACCCGCGGCAAGCCUC